AUUGAACGCUGGCGGCAGGCCUAACACAUGCAAGUCGAGCGGAUGAAGGGAGCUUGCUCCUGGAUUCAGCGGCGGACGGGUGAGUAAUGCCUAGGAAUCUGCCUGGUAGUGGGGGAUAACGUCCGGAAACGGGCGCUAAUACCGCAUACGUCCUGAGGGAGAAAGUGGGGGAUCUUCGGACCUCACGCUCUCAGAUGAGCCUAGGUCGGAUUAGCUAGUUGGUGGGGUAAAGGCCUACCAAGGCGACGAUCCGUAACUGGUCUGAGAGGAUGGUAAGUGACACUGGAACUGAGACACGGUCCAGACUCCUACGGGAGGCAGCAGUGGGGAAUAUUGGACAAUGGGCGAAAGCCUGAUCCAGCCAGGCCGCGUGUGUGAAGAAGGUCUUCGGAUUGUAAAGCACUUUAAGUUGGGAGGAAGGGCAGUAAGUUAAUACCUUGCUGUUUUGACGUUACCAACAGAAUAAGCACCGGCUAACUUCGUG
rnacentral:rRNA from 1 species